rnacentral:tRNA from 1 species
GCCUCGCUAGCUCAAUGGUAGAGCAGUUGACUCUUAAUCAAUUUGUUUCAGGUUCAAGUCCUGAGCGAGGUA